AUGAGCGCCUGGCCCUCUCCUCUGCUCUGGAGCUUGGCCACGGCGUGUCUGACAGGUAUUGCUUUAGGCCAGCUGACCACUACCCAAGUCCCUGUUUCAUCAACCCCGGUGCCUCCCAGUGGCACCACGACCCAUGCCUCCACACCCCCAGCUCCUGGUGGUGUUACAACCACCACAGACCUCGUCACGGCCACAGCUGUGCCAUCGGCAGACCCUGGAACAACAACGCUCGCUCCGGCCCUGCCCACCACCCUGCCGGUGACCGCGCUCACCUCUGGGAUCGUCACCACCUCUCACGCAUCCACCAGUGCCUCGGCCACCCCUCCAGAUGUCACCACGUCUUCUGGAGAUCCACCAACAGCUCCGUCCCUCACCACCUCUGUGCCCUCCAACUGCAGCAGAGUGAACGUGAUGGCAUGUGCCCCUUGCUCCCCAGGGACAUUUCCCAGCGAUGACGCCUGGAGCUGCUCGUGCUGCACGGGGGGCUCGUGCACGGACGCCGGUGCCUGCGUUCCCUGCCCGGUGGGGCACUACCAGCCCGCGUGGGGACAGCAGAGGUGCCUGCCGUGUCCGCAGGGACACUACGCCAACGCCACGAGGAGCACCGCGUGCUCCCCCUGCCCGCCCGGCCAUUACGCGAACGAGUCUGGGGCUGCAGCCUGCAGAGCGUGCCAGAAAGGCUGUCUUCUGCAGUUUGAAUAUUAA
ensembl:lncRNA